CGAGCGCAACCCCUAUUGUUAGUUGCCAUCAUUCAGUUGGGCACUCUAGCGAGACUGCCGGUAAUAAACCGGAGGAAGGUGGGGAUGACGUCAAAUCAUCAUGCCCCUUAUGACCUGGGCUACACACGUGCUACAAUGGUUGGUACAACGAGUUGCGAGUCGGUGACGGCGAGCUAAUCUCUUAAAGCCAAUCUCAGUUCGGAUUGUAGGCUGCAACUCGCCUACAUGAAGUCGGAAUCGCUAGUAAUCGCGGAUCAGCACGCCGCGGUGAAUACGUUCCCGGGCCUU
rnacentral:rRNA from 1 species